rnacentral:rRNA from 1 species
GACGAACGCUGGCGGCGUGCUUAACACAUGCAAGUCGAACGGAAAGGCCCUGCUUUUGUGGGGUGCUCGAGUGGCGAACGGGUGAGUAACACGUGAGUAACCUGCCCUUGACUUUGGGAUAACUUCAGGAAACUGGGGCUAAUACCGGAUAGGAGCUCCUGCUGCAUGGUGGGGGUUGGAAAGUUUCGGCGGUUGGGAUGGACUCGCGGCUUAUCAGCUUGUUGGUGGGGUAGUGGCUUGCCAAGGCUUUGACGGGUAGCCGGCCUGAGAGGGUGACCGGCCACAUUGGGACUGAGAUACGGCCCAGACUCCUACGGGAGGCAGCAGUGGGGAAUAUUGCACAAUGGGCGGAAGCCUGAUGCAGCAACGCCGCGUGCGGGAUGACGGCCUUCGGGUUGUAACCGCUUUCGCCUGUGACGAAGCGUGAGUGACGGUAAUGGGUAAAGAAGCACCGGCUAACUACGUG